UUAUGCUAAUAAGAGCGUAUGGUGGAUGCCUUGGCACUAAGAGCCGAUGAAAGACGUGAUAAGCUGCGAAAAGCUUCGGGGAGGAGCAAAUAUCCAUUGAUCCGGAGAUCUCUGAAUGGGGAAACCUACUUGAGAAAACCUCAAGUAUCCACAGCCCAAUCCAUAAGCUGUGGAAGGGAACCCGGUGAACUGAAACAUCUAAGUAGCCGGAGGAAGAGAAAACAACAUGUGAUUCCGUAAGUAGCGGCGAGCGAACGCGGAAGAGCCCAAACCGGAGUGCGUGCACUCCGGGGUUCGGACUGCAGAAUUGACGAGUGAGCCUAGUAGAAUGGUUUUGGGAAAGCCAGCCAGAGAGGGUGAAAGCCCCGUACACGAAAGGCAAGCAAGCAUGGCAGGAUCCAGAGUACCACGAGACACGUGAAACCUUGUGGGAACGCGCGGGGACCACCCCGUAAGGCUAAAUACUCCUUAGUGACCGAUAGCGCAUAGUACUGUGAAGGAAAGGUGAAAAGGACCCCGGGAGGGGAGUGAAAGAGAACCUGAAACCAUAUGUUUACAAGCUGUGGAACAUCUUUAUAUGAUGAACCGCGUACUUUUUGUAGAACGGUCCGGCGAGUUACGCUGGCUGGCGAGGUUAAGCACUGAAGGUGUGGAGCCGAAGGGAAACCAAGUCUGAACAGGGCGAAAUAGUCAGUCGGAGUAGACCCGAAACCGGGUGAUCUAUCCAUGUCCAGGUUGAAGUUGCCGUAAAAGGCAAUGGAGGACCGAACCCACAUCCGUUGAAAAGGGUGGGGAUGAGGUGUGGAUAGGGGAGAAAUUCCAAUCGAACCCGGAGAUAGCUGGUUCUCCUCGAAAUAGCUUUAGGGCUAGCCUCAUAUUAGUUUAGCGGAGGUAGAGCACUGAAUUCCUAAGGGGGCGUCAAAGCUUACCAAGGGAUAUCAAACUCCGAAUGCCGCAUAAAUGAUGUAUGGGAGUCAGACUGCACGAGAUAAGUUGGGUAGUCAAAAGGGAAAGAGCCCAGACCUACAGCUAAGGUCCCAAAAUGUGUGUUAAGUGGAAAAGGAUGUGGGAUUUCGAAGACAACUAGGAUGUUGGCUUAGAAGCAGCCAUCCAUUAAAAGAGUGCGUAAUAGCUCACUAGUCGAGAGGUCCUGCGCCGAAAAUGUCCGGGGCUGAAACACAACACCGAAGCUUAGGAAUGUAUGUAAGUACAUUGGUAGAGGAGCAUUCUUAGUGCGGAGAAGCGGUACCGAUAAGGAGCCGUGGAGCGCUAAGAAGAGAGAAUGCCGGAAUGAGUAGCGAGAUGGAGGUGGGAAUCCUCCAGGCCGAAUAUCUAAGGUUUCCAGAGUAAAGCUGAUCUGCUCUGGGUAAGUCGGGGCCUAAGGCGAGGCUGAAAAGCGUAGUCGAUGGACAACAGGUUGAAAUUCCUGUACUGCAUAUCAUCAGAACUGUGGGGACACAGAACCGAAGUCAAACCCGGGAAUGAAAAGACCGGGGCAAGCGUAGGACUGGUUAGGCUGGCAAAUCCGCUUAACAACAGGAGGACGUGACGCGUAGCGAACAUUAGUAGCGAAGUUGGCGUAGGGGCUGUCAAGAAAAGCCGCUAUUGUGUGAUAUGUACCCGUACCGUAAACCGACACAGGUGGAUGAGGAGAGAAUCCUAAGGCCGGCGGGAGAAGCAUUGUUAAGGAACUCGGCAAAAUGACCCCGUAACUUCGGGAGAAGGGGUGCCACAGAGAUGUGGCCGCAGAGAAUAGGCUCAAGCAACUGUUUAGCAAAAACACAGGUCUAUGCAAAACCGUAAGGUGAGGUAUAUGGGCUGACGCCUGCCCGGUGCUGGAAGGUUAAGAGGAGAGGUUAGCGCAAGCGAAGCUUUGAAUUUAAGCCCCAGUAAACGGCGGCCGUAACUAUAACGGUCCUAAGGUAGCGAAAUUCCUUGUCGGGUAAGUUCCGACCCGCACGAAAGGCGUAAUGAUUUGAGCGCUGUCUC
rnacentral:rRNA from 1 species